GUGGGGAAUAUUGGACAAUGGGCGAAAGCCUGAUCCAGCCAUGCCGCGUGUGUGAAGAAGGUCUUCGGAUUGUAAAGCACUUUAAGUUGGGAGGAAGGGCAGUAAGUUAAUACCUUGCUGUUUUGACGUUACCGACAGAAUAAGCACCGGCUAACUUCGUGCCAGCAGCCGCGGUAAUACGAAGGGUGCAAGCGUUAAUCGGAAUUACUGGGCGUAAAGCGCGCGUAGGUGGUUUUGUAAGUUGGAGGUGAAAUCCCCGGGCUCAACCUGGGAACUGCCUCCAAAACUGCAUGACUAGAGUACGGUAGAGGGUAGUGGAAUUUCCUGUGUAGCGGUGAAAUGCGUAGAUAUAGGAAGGAACACCAGUGGCGAAGGCGACCACCUGGACUGAUACUGACACUGAGGUGCGAAAGCGUGGGGAGCAAACAGGAUUAGAAACCCCUGUAGUCC
rnacentral:rRNA from 1 species